rnacentral:rRNA from 1 species
CCCUUAGAUGUUCUGGGCCGCACGCGCGCUACACUGAUGCAUUCAACGAGCCUAUCCUUGACCGACAGGUCCGGGUAAUCUUUGAAUCUGCAUCGUGACGGGGAUAGAUUAUUGCAAUUAUUAAUCUUCAACGAGGAAUGCCUAGUAGGCGCAAGUCAUCAGCUUGCGUCGAUUACGUCCCUGCCCUUUGUACACACCGCCCGUCGCUCCUACCGAUUGGGUGUGCUGGUGAAAUGUUCGGAUCGGCCGUUUGUCGCGGUUUCCGCGGCUCGUGGCUGAGGAGUUCAUUAAACCCUCCCACCUAGAGGAAGGAGAAGUCGUAACA